AAGCAUAACUAAUUUCCAAAAAAAAAAGAGGUUAAUUUUGUGUUUGACUGUAUGUAAAUUUUGAAAAAAGCCCUUUAUUGAUUGGGGAAAGUAAUGCUAAUACAUUUAAGCAAAAACUUUAUCCGCCAUUAAAUUGCGUAGCUAGCAUUAACUCUGCGAAUAUUGCUUGAAAUUUUAUGGAAUAAGCGAUAAUCAUGGUUUGAUCUGAUUAUUUAAUUUUCUUUUAUUUGGAAAGUCAAAUAGUGAAUCUUCUAAAAAUGGAAAUUAUGAUUGAAUCGUUGAAAAAUUUAAAGUCAAAGUUCUUGUUUUGAAAACAUAAUUACAAAUUAUUAAUAACAAAAAUGGAAGAUUUAUUUAUAUAUAACUAUAUAUAUAUGUAAUUAAGACCAUAAACUCUGUUCAUAAGAAGCUUAAAGUUAUAUUUUCAAAACGAAAGGAAAUCAAGACAAAAAGUUGCUACAACCUAUAAUGACGACCAAGAAAAUGUCAUCCCUUUUAUUAUUUUCGCUGAUGGUCUUUAUCCUCGUAUCUCUACCUAUAAUUUCAGGGGAUGAAUGUACACCGAAGGGGCCAUGUGAAGACACCAAGAAAUGCAAUAUCUAUUGUUUAUUGCUGGGUUUCAAAUAUGGGGGAUUUUGUGAUACAUAUGGGACUACGUUUUGUUGUUGCAUAACAUCUAAAACUCCUCCUAUAUCCAGUCUUCCUGAACACUAAUUAUUUUUAAUCAAUAUGUACCCAAAAUAUACAUUCAAAUAUGAUACUCGUAUUUAUAUUACAUCGCUUAAAAUUUA